CUUUUACUAGGUUCAGGUCUCUUCACACUUUGGUAAGCAAGAAGCUCUCUUAACACAGGCAUAAAAUGCAAGUUUUAAGUUCAGUUACGAAGCUUUGUUUUCGUUUGCUGUUUUUAUUGAGAAGUUAAGAAGAUUGACUUUCAAACACUGCUACCAUGGUUUGGCCUCUUCUCUGGUGGUUGAUCAUCGAGCAUCCAGACUUUUCCCUUUUGAUGUUUAUAGUCUUGAUUCAGUUCUUUUUAAUUUCUUUCUUUAGACGUCUUUGGAUUGUAUAAUAUGCUCUCUGUAUCAUGAAUGGUUUGUACGAUAUGUUUCAUAUAA